rnacentral:lncRNA from 1 species
ACAAGCAGAUGGAUAAUUAAUGGGAUCUUGUCACCAGCAGAUUUUGAUGACUUCACUACUAGGCCAUAUCUUUGAUGAAUGGGGAAGCUGGCUGAAGAGUGGGCUGGUUGUGGUGCUGGAGAUGGCCUUGUGCAUGCUAGGCAACGACUCUAUCCUUGUGCUGCACCUUAGACUCAUGGCACUGAACCUAUGGCAAGUGUGCAGAAGUGGACUAUUUGUAUCAUUGAAACAUCUAAAAGAUACAUCCUACUGUGCCUUUGUUGAGGCAACUUAUGGCUCACUGCUCACCCAGCGGUCUUCUAUUCUCAACAACUCCUAGGUUCGGAGUGAUGUCCUUCUGGAUCCCGGCAUUACCCUGUUGUCUAGGUGGGGUUCUCGUUGGGCCCUG